GUCGGGUUUGGAGAGGCAGUUUUAGGUGGGAACAUUGCUGCUUUUAGAAAUUUGGGGGAAAUGAUUGAUUCGCUUCCCGGAAGGAAGGAAGGAAGUGGGGUCAGCCCUAGUUGACAGCCACUAUCAGUGUGGUACAGAAAGUAAAACGUACGUUCAGGUUACCGUUAGGAGGCACCAGAGAGUAAGCCCUUGGUCCCCAGUCUCCAAGGGACAAGAAUCCUGUCCACUUUCUGGCUUGGACAUAUCGCAAGCACUUACUUGCACAUUCUUCCAAGUGACAUUUUGCCCUCACCCAUUUUGGGGUCAUUAAGGAAGAUUCAUUGAUUCAGCCCUAUAUGGCCCAUCCUAUCCCCCGAUUGAGGAGAAGGGGGAAGAGGGAGGAAGCAGGGCACCAGGUGUGCUUUCAGACUAUGUCAGCUUCACACUUUGGAUGCGGCCCGCGCUCCCCUUUUUCACUACUCGCUUCGCGCAGUGGAGGCUAUGUGGAAAGGCAAGCUGCCAAAACAAACCCAACAAGGGCGGAAGCCCAGAUUUCAAAAUCCUGGGUUUCUCUUUGGUGCUUCCCGGAUCUAGUUUCUCACUUUUAUAAAGGAAACGCACAUCACUACUAACCACUCCACUAACAGCCCAUGACCCUACAAGGCAGAUGAUUGUGUUCAACAACGAAACUGUUUGGAGGAAAAUGACAAGAUGCCAUUUCAGCUCAGCACUUGUUUAAAGAUAACGAAAUGAGCAAGCAAUUGCAGAAGUUAACACUUUCCAGCUUUCGAUUUCCCUGGGUGAAAUGGUUGUCACACAAGGACACGGUGAAUCCAGUUCGGCUUUUCUUCCCCCCAGUGGAUCUGUCAGCCUCCUUCCUCCUCCACCCGCCUCGCCUGCCAGAAGCCUCCAAGUCCUAGCCUAGCUUUGCCACCGCGAGCCCCUGCAACAAGAAAGAUCGUUUAUGGCUUAAAACCCCAAAUGGCUGAUUUUUUUUUUAAAGAGAGAGAGAAAG